UACGAAGGGGGCUAGCGUUGCUCGGAAUUACUGGGCGUAAAGCGCACGUAGGCGGCUUCUUAAGUCGGUGGUGAAAUCCUGGAGCUCAACUCCAGAACUGCCUUCGAUACUGGGAGCUCGAGUCCGGGAGAGGUGAGUGGAACUGCGGGUGUAGAGGUGAAAUUCGUAGAUAUUCGCAAGAACACCAGUGGCGAAGGCGGCUCACUGGCCCGGUACUGACGCUGAGGUGCGAAAGCGUGGGGAGCAAACAGG
rnacentral:rRNA from 1 species